rnacentral:rRNA from 1 species
ACCGUCGACAGUCAGGUAACGAGCGAGACCCACGCCAACAGUUGCCAGCUCGUCCUCCGGGAUGGAGGGGACACUGUUGGGACCGCCUCUGCUAAAGAGGAGGAAGGAAUGGGCAACGGUAGGUCAGCAUGCCCCGAAUUAUCUGGGCUACACGCGGGCUACAAUGGGUGGGACAAUGGGUAUCGACACCGAAAGGUGAAGGCAAUCUCCUAAACCCAUCCUUAGUUCGGAUUGUGGGUUGCAACUCACCCACAUGAAGCUGGAAUCCGUAGUAAUCGUGUCUCAAAAUGGCACGGUGAAUAUGUCCCUGCUCCUUGCACGAAUUCGCCG